UGCAGUCGAUGUGGUAUGUUUCUAGCAGGAGAGCGAGUAACUCGCAGGCUGUUGGUUGAACUUUAGUCAGAUUAAGUGAUUGCUUAUCUCCGUCUGCUAUGUUGCCUACUCCGAUGUGAGGUGGAUGAUGCUCCUUGCGGGUUUUGCCACGAAUGAACACUUCGCCUAGAAGGUUGCUCAUGUUGAUUAUUAGAGUGUGGCCCAACCGUGAAUGUAUGUUCGUCUGUGGGCCUAAUCGAGAGUGCACGCUCCUCUACAUGGUAAGACAGGAGUAUACGUUAUCUCGAGGGCCCAGUCGGGAGUGUACACUACCCGAACGCUUGGUUUGUAGCUGGUCGAGUGGCUGCUUACAAGGACGUUGCUGGAGAGGUUCUUCGUCUGCCCUUGUCCUACUUCGGGAAACCUUGUCUAGGGCACCUUGCAUCUUAGUGCGCUGCAAAAGCUACUUCACC
rnacentral:lncRNA from 1 species